rnacentral:rRNA from 1 species
AUGUUCCGAUGGAUGACUCGGCCGCAGCUCAAGGGCAAGGUGGUGCUCAUGCGCAGGAACGUCCUCGACUUGAACCACUGGCUGGACCCCAUCAUCCACGGCACCUUGGAUGAGAUCUCCACCAAAGGCAUCACCUGCCGGCUCAUCAGCUCCACCGUCGUCGACCGAGAUGUUGGGAAUGGCAACCGGGGUUUCGCGGGCAAGGAGAAGCACGUUGAACACUGGGUGCCCCACUUGCCCCAAAUCACCAAUGGUGAUACCACCUAUGAUGUCACCUUCGACUGGGACGUGAAGAAGCAUGGCGGCCCCGGUGCCGUCAUCGUCAGAAACUACCAUGCCACCGAGUUUCUCCUCAAGACCAUCACCAUUGACGUCGUCCCUGGCCACAAUGGCCCCAUGGUCUUCCUCGCCAACUCUUGGAUCUACAACACAGACAAGUACUACUACGACCGAGUCUUCUUCACCAAUGACACAUGCCUGCCGAGCGAGAUGCCAGCAUUGUUGCAGCCUUACCGGGAGGAUGAGCUUCGGCUUCUACGAGGGGACGAACCCAGGCAGAAGAACGGCGCCUAUGAGGAGCACGACCGGCAAUGCUACACGUACAAACGAUUUACAGGCUUUUACAGGAUGGUUAACCUUGAUUGGUCGAUAGGUGAGCGGGACGGUCCACCCCCCCUAAAAAUCAGGGAGGAAGGGGUUUGUGAUUGGUUGUUAGAUGAAAGGAGCGUAUAA